rnacentral:rRNA from 1 species
AUGAGACGAGGAGAGGAUGCACACGCACCAACAGCGUGGGCGGGGCGUGCGGUGCGGACGGCAACGGCAACGCCGUGCCGGCCGUGUGUGGCCUACAGCCUAGUUAGGUAUAGCACAGGCAAAGCCAAAGUGGGGAGGGACGCUAUCCUCCGCAUGAGGAGGCCGGAGGAAGCAACAAUCUCGAUCGUGAGGUCUGCUGUGCUGGUUGCGUGCCCGGCUGCAACCACAUACUCCUACCUAAACUUAUCACCCGCCUGCAAUGUCAUGCGAUUUGGAUGGACCAUGCAUGCACGGCACGGGGAAGCCACCGCCCAACUACCACUAGUCCACUACCACUCGUGGUAA